CUCCGACUGCUUUCGCAAGUAUGCAAACAAUGUGGUGCAAAGAACCCAGAGGCACUCACCUCAACAAGAUUGCGGAAAACAAGUCGCCACUUUGUCCACACUUCUAAACCUCAAAGAAAAUGAAAUGGAUCAACUUGCCACCUUUCUAGGACAUGACAUCCGUGUCCAUAGAUAAUUCUAUCGGCUUCCGGAGAGUACCCUGCAGCUCGCAAAAGUCAACAAACUGUUGAUAGCAAUCGAAAAAGGAAGACUGCCUUGCCUGCAGGGGAAAGGGCUGGAUGACAUUGAGGUCAAUCCUGAAGAUGAAGUAGAAAUGAGUGAUGAUGAUUCCAGCGAAGAAACCAUUGCUGACCUACAUCAAUGCAAAGGCUCAACAACAGAGACUUCUAGGGACCAGACACUUCUGAGGCAAACACCAGAGUUAACCACCCUGGACAACAUGGAGGGUACUUCUGAGUCAACCACCCUGGACAACAUGGAGGGCACUUCUGAGUCAACCACCCUGGACAACAUGGAGGGCACUCCUGAGUCAACCACCUUGGAUAACGUACACAUGAGCAACACACAACCAAGACAUGGUAAAAUAGUCACAUCCCAAGCAUCCUCAAAGUGCUCCAAAGGAAAGCACAGUUACUGUGAAGGUGAGAAGCAAGUGGACAGGUGAUGAAGUGAAAGCUGUUGAGCGGCAUUUGCUUAAUUUCAUAACAAGCUGCAGAAUACCAGGUAAAAAUGACUGUGACUCCUGCCUCCAAGCAGAGCCAGUAGCUCUGAAAGACAGAGACUGGUGUUGCUAUCAAAUACUACAUCCACAACAGAAACGUAGCAUUAAAAAGGAAGAUGAACAGAUAGAACUAGAGCAUGCCAACUGUAGCUCAGGUACCAUUCAAUUCCAAUUUCAAUCAGCUUCCCCUCAGAUAGUGUUAAUAUCUGUGGGUUUCAUGUUCAUAUUAUUUUAUUUUCCUUAAAUGAUUUAUAUUGUUGGUUCUUGUACAAACAUGCCACAUAGGCUCGACUGUAGAGCCCACAUGUUCGUAUGUUUAUGUAUAAUUGAGGGCUAUUAAUGAGCAUAUGUUUGCCACUUAUGGUCAAAUUUUUUUGGGAUAACAGUUGAUGAUAUAGGUUAAUACUCUGCUCUCAUUGACAGGGAAAAGAGAUAAACAGUACUUAAAGGGAUUGUUAUUGUUCCUAAGUUUUCAGAAGCACUUUGUUCUUAACCACAAGUUGUUGAAUGUGGCAAGGUGUUUAAAUUACUGUUAAACUAUUACCAUUUCAAUGGGUGCUUGUAACAGGCCUCGUGUAUGGUAACUUGCACUAUGUAACUAUGAUGUAAAUCCCUACGUUAUUUAGACAGGUUAGCUGAAUGUACACUGUCAUGUUUCAUAGAAGCUGGAUGCUUUAAUAGAGAGUUUCUCAUUCAUUUCAAACAUGCCAUUUCUACUGCCUUGUGCAUAGCAGGGAAGGAGGCAAAGUGUAGGUGGUCUAUUCUGGGUGUUCAAUUGAUUUGUCAAUUAGCAUAUGUUCGCUGGCACUCAAUAAAAGUAAGGCAUAAAGUGUU